rnacentral:rRNA from 1 species
CUGGCUCAGGACGAACGCUGGCGGCGUGCCUAACACAUGCAAGUCGAACGGAACUUCUUUAAUUGAUUUCUUCGGAAUGAUUUUGAUUAAGUUUAGUGGCGGACGGGUGAGUAACGCGUGAGUAACCUGCCUCUAAGAGGGGAAUAACAUUCUGAAAAGAAUGCUAAUACCGCAUAAUAUAUAUUUAUCGCAUGGUAGAUAUAUCAAAGAUUUAUCGCUUAGAGAUGGACUCGCGUCCGAUUAGUUAGUUGGUGAGGUAACGGCUCACCAAGACCGCGAUCGGUAGCCGGACUGAGAGGUUGAACGGCCACAUUGGGACUGAGACACGGCCCAGACUCCUACGGGAGGCAGCAGUGGGGGAUAUUGCACAAUGGGGGAAACCCUGAUGCAGCGACGCCGCGUGGAGGAAGAAGGUUUUCGGAUUGUAAACUCCUGUCGUUAGGGACGAUAAUGACGGUACCUAACAAGAAAGCACCGGCUAACUACGUGCCAGCAGCCGCGGUAAAACGUAGGGUGCAAGCGUUGUCCGGAAUUACUGGGUGUAAAGGGAGCGCAGGCGGGAAGACAAGUUGGAAGUGAAAACCAUGGGCUCAACCCAUGAAUUGCUUUCAAAACUGUUUUUCUUGAGUAGUGCAGAGGUAGAUGGAAUUCCCGGUGUAGCGGUGGAAUGCGUAGAUAUCGGGAGGAACACCAGUGGCGAAGGCGGUCUACUGGGCACCAACUGACGCUGAGGCUCGAAAGCAUGGGUAGCAAACAGGAUUAGAUACCCUGGUAGUCCAUGCCGUAAACGAUGAUUACAAGGUGUUGGGGGAUUGACCCCCCUCGGCGCCGCCAGUUAACACAAUAAGUAAUCCCCCUGGGGAGAUAGGACCGCAAGGUUGAAACUCUAAAGGGUUUGACGGGGGCCCGCGCAAGCAGUGGAGUAUGUGGUUUAAUUCGAAGAAACGAGAAGAACCUUACCAAAUCUCGACAUCCCUCUGACCGGUCUUUAAUCGGACCUUCUCUUCGGAGCAGAGGUGACAGGUGGUGCAUGGUUGUCGUCAGCUCGUGUCGUGAGAUGUUGGGUUAAGUCCCGCAACGAGCGCAACCCCUAUCCUCAGUAGCCAGCAUUUAAGGUGGGCACUCUGGGGAGACUACCAGGGAUAACCUGGAGGAAGGCGGGGAUGACGUCAAAUCAUCAUGCCCCUUAUGAUUUGGGCUACACACGUGCUACAAUGGCGUAAACAAAGGGAAGCGAGAUCGUGAGAUGGAGCAAAUCCCAAAAAUAACGUCCCAGUUCGGACUGUAGUCUGCAACCCGACUACAGGAAGCUGGAAUCGCUAGUAAUCGCGGAUCAGAAUGCCGCGGUGAAUACGUUCCCGGGCCUUGUACACACCGCCCGUCA